GAUGAACGCUGGCGGCGUGCUUAACACAUGCAAGUCGAACGAAGCACUUCCGAUUGAGACUUCGGUGGAUUGAAGAAGUGACUGAGUGGCGGACGGGUGAGUAACGCGUGGGCAACCUGCCUUGUACAGGGGGACAACAGUUGGAAACGACUGCUAAUACCGCAUAAGCGCACAGCUUCGCAUGAAGCAGUGUGAAAAACUGAGGUGGUACAAGAUGGGCCCGCGUUGGAUUAGCUAGUUGGUGAGGUAACGGCUCACCAAGGCGACGAUCCAUAGCCGACCUGAGAGGGUGACCGGUCACAUUGGGACUGAGACACGGCCCAAACUCCUACGGGAGGCAGCAGUGGGGAAUAUUGCACAAUGGGCGCAAGCCUGAUGCAGCGACGCCGCGUGAGCGAAGAAGUAUUUCGGUAUGUAAAGCUCUAUCAGCAGGGAAGAAAAUGACGGUACCUGACUAAGAAGCUCCGGCUAAAUACGUGCCAGCCGCCGCCGUAAUAC
rnacentral:rRNA from 1 species